UACGAAGGGUGCUAGCGUUGUUCGGAAUUACUGGGCGUAAAGCGUACGUAGGCGGCUUUGUAAGUCGAUUGUGAAAGCCCUAAGCUCAACUUAGGAACUGCAACCGAUACUGCUCGGCUAGAGUUUAGUGGGGGAUGGUGGAAUUUCUAGUGUAGGGGUGAAAUCCGUAGAUAUUAGAAGGAAUACCGGUGGCGAAAGCGACCAUCUACGCUAAUACUGACGCUAAGGUACGAAAGCGUGGGGAGCAAACAGG
rnacentral:rRNA from 1 species